UGAAGCCUGGAGGCUUCAGGUUCCUUUCGCUGAAGCCAGGAGAGUCUUGCUCUCCUGGCUUAAGCGAAAGCAAACUGAAGCCUCCGGUGCGCGG